ensembl:lncRNA
AGGACAUCAGCUUUAAUUCCUAUAGUAAAGAACAUUUAAAGGACACUGAUUUGUAGGUGUACUCAUGUGAAUCUCCAUCUUAAACAACUUUUAAGCUGUGUGUAAUUCAUCAACAUGCAGGUCAUGUUUUGGGCCAAACAGUGGACAUGAUGACGUGAUGAUGCACACACCCUAAAUGCAUCGAUCUGAUAUGCUGUGCUCUGUUUAUGUGUAUACAGUGAGGAGGAGUUUUCUUUAAAGGUUAUAGAAAAGACAGAAAGGUUGUGAGAUCAGCCCACCUGAGGAGCCUCAUCCAACAUCUACUGCUCAGAGUACCAUCAGUUCCCUUGCUAAGGAGGGGUAAAAAUGAGCCAGCUCACAGAACUAGUUCUUCUUACAGUCUUCUUGGCACUCUUCGGUCAAGCUGAAGCAAAUCCUUUCGUUUACAGUAAGUACUCUGAGGCAGAUGCUCAGGAGAUCCUAAUAAUAUUACAUUUAUUAUAUA